rnacentral:rRNA from 1 species
GACAGAGGGUGCAAACGUUGCUCGGAAUCACUGGGCGUAAAGGGCGUGUAGGCGGGAAGGAUAGUCAGAUGUGAAAUCCCUGGGCUCAACCCAGGAACUGCAUUUGAAACUCCCUUUCUUGAGUGUCGGAGAGGAAAGUGGAAUUCCUGGUGUAGAGGUGAAAUUCGUAGAUAUCAGGAGGAACACCGGUGGCGAAGGCGGAUCUCUGGGCCAUUACUGACGCUGAGGAGCGAAAGCGUGGGGAGCGAACAGG